rnacentral:lncRNA from 1 species
CUAUAUAUUACUUUUCUUCACCUUGUUAGAAAAUUAAUCUCCUGUUUGUCAGAGUCCCUUACCCUUCACCAUUUCCUUUCUUAAAUUACUGCCAUACCUAGCUCAUGUUCUGUGUUAUGCCUCUGAUGGCUCUUGAUGACUUCGGACUACUUAGCCCUCCCCAACUUUAUUGGACAAGUCAGAGAUUGCAAUCUAUGAAUCCAAUUUUCCCUUGUCUUCCUCAGCCUAUAAGAACCACAGGCCAGGCUCUCCCAAACAAUUUCUAAGGACAGAAGUGUUACCUACAAGGACUAACUAUGAGAAACCAGGUGACUUUGAUUCAAUUUCCACUUUGGCAACUUAAAACUCUCUGUGACCUUGAAUGAGUUACUGAAUAAUAAAAAUUAUGGUAAUAAAAUUCA